rnacentral:rRNA from 1 species
CCUACGGGAGGCAGCAGUGAGGAAUAUUGGUCAAUGGACGAAAGUCUGAACCAGCCAAGUAGCGUGAAGGAUGACUGCCCUAUGGGUUGUAAACUUCUUUUAUAAGGGAAUAAAACGAGGCACGUGUGCCUUUUUGCAUGUACUUUAUGAAUAAGGAUCGGCUAACUCCGUGCCAGCAGCCGCGGUAAUACGGAGGAUCCGAGCGUUAUCCGGAUUUAUUGGGUUUAAAGGGAGCGUAGAUGGGUUGUUAAGUCAGUUGUGAAAGUUUGCGGCUCAACCGUAAAAUUGCAAUUGAUACUGGAAGUCUUGAGUACAGUUGAGGUAGGCGGAAUGCGUGGUGUAGCGGUGAAAUGCUUAGAUAUCACGAAGAACCCCGAUUGCGAAGGCAGCUUACUAAGCUGUGACUGACAUUGAUGCUCGAAAGUGUGGGUAUCAAACAGGAUUAGAUACCCGAGUAGUC